rnacentral:rRNA from 1 species
CCUGCCGGCGACCGGCGCACGGGUGAGUAACACGUAUGCGACCUGCCCCCCGCAGGGGGAUAACCGGGAGAAAUCCCGACUAAUACCGCGUAACGCCGCGGACCUGCAUGGGUCUGCGGCCAAAGGAAGCGAUUCCGGCGGGGGAUGGGCAUGCGGCGCAUUAGCUAGUCGGCGGGUAACGGCCCACCGAGGCGACGAUGCGUAGGGGUUCUGAGAGGAAGGUCCCCCACACUGGUACUGAGACACGGACCAGACUCCUACGGAAGGCAGCAG